GCUUGCGGCCAUACCACCCUGCGCGCGCCCGAUCUCGUCUGAUCUCGGAAGCUGAGCAGGGUCGGGCCUGGUUAGUACUUGGUUGGGAGACCGCCUGGGAAUACCAGGUGCUGUAAGCUUUU
rnacentral:rRNA from 1 species